rnacentral:rRNA from 1 species
UACGUAGGGAGCGAGCGUUGUCCGGAUUCAUUGGGCGUAAAGAGCUCGUAGGCGGCUUGGUAAGUCUGAUGUGAAACCUCCAGGCUCAACCUGGAGUCGCCAUCCGAUACUGCCAUGGCUAGAGUCCGGUAGGGGCCCACGGAAUUCCUGGUGUAGCGGUGAAAUGCGCAGAUAUCAGGAGGAACACCGGUGGCGAAGGCGGGUCUCUGGGCAGUAACUGACGCUGAGGAGCGAAAGCGUGGGGAGCGAACAGG